AGCCCGCGGCCCCCGAGCUCCGGCCGGCGAGCGGGGGAGGAGACGGCCGGGCGGCGCGCGGGGGCCCGGCAUGAGCGCGGAUAACGGGACCUGGAGGCGGAUAGCGGAGCCGGCUGGGCUGGAUGGGGGGAGAUGAAGAAGCGAGGCCGGCAACCGGCUCGGGAGGGACGGGCGGCCGAGGCCCGGGUGCGAGGACCUGUGCGGGGAUCGCUGAGAUCCGCAGCCCCGGGGGGCUCGAGGCGGGCGGGACGCGGGCCAGCCUCUUCAUCCUGAACUUGACUCCCUGCAACUGUGACCCGCCUUUCGUCUUGGAGUUUACCUGUGAGGUGUCUCAUUCCCUUGGCACUCCACCCUGUGAUUUUAAGGGUGUGGGACCCCAGACAGGGAAGUUCUCAUAGAAGAUGUGGUUCUCUGCCUGGAUGGAUGGAGCUGGCAUGAGGUUGUCUUCAGGACUCCUUAUUACUCCUAUCAAGGUUAGACUGGCCUCUAAUUCCCUAUGCAGCUGAGGAUGACUUUUAACUUCUGCUUUUCCUGCCUCUACCUCCCCAGGGAGGACAUGGAGACCCCACAAGAUGGACUUGAACCAG